ensembl:snoRNA Gm22916 predicted gene, 22916
CCUGCUCCUAGAAGGGUUGCAAGUAUCGCUGCUGUGUCACAGCUGCAUCAGUAGGUGGCAAGAGAGGAGAGGCAAUGGCUACCUUCAGUGUUCUGACCUAUGACUAGUAGCCUAACACU